UGGGGAAUAUUGCGCAAUGGGGGGAACCCUGACGCAGCCAUGCCGCGUGAAUGAAGAAGGCCUUAGGGUUGUAAAGUUCUUUCGGUAUUGAGGAAGGUUGAUGUGUUAAUAGCACAUCAAAUUGACGUUAAAUACAGAAGAAGCACCGGCUAACUCCGUGCCAGCAGCCGCGGUAAUACGGAGGGUGCGAGCGUUAAUCGGAAUAACUGGGCGUAAAGGGCAAGCAGGCGGUUAUUUAAGUGAGGUGUGAAAGCCCCGGGCUUAACCUGGGAAUUGCAUUUCAGACUGGGUAACUAGAGUACUUUAGGGAGGGGUAGAAUUCCACGUGUAGCGGUGAAAUGCGUAGAGAUGUGGAGGAAUACCGAAGGCGAAGCNNGCCCCUUGGGAAUGUACUGACGCUCAUGUGCGAAAGCGUGGGGGAGCAAACAGGAUUAGAUACCCUGGUAGUCCACGCUGUAAACGCUGUCGAUUUGGGGGUUGGGGUUUAACUCUGGCGCCCGUAGCUAACGUGAUAAAUCGACCGCCUGGGGAGUACGGCCGCAAGNUA
rnacentral:rRNA from 1 species